CCUACGGGAGGCAGCAGUGGGGAAUAUUGGGCAAUGGGCGCAAGCCUGACCCAGCAACGCCGCGUGAAGGAAGAAGGCUUUCGGGUUGUAAACUUCUUUUCUCAGGGACGAAGCAAGGGACGGUACCGGAGGAAUAAGCCACGGCUAACUACGUGCCAGCAGCCGCGGUAAGACGUAGGUGGCAAGCGUUAGCCGGAUUUACUGGGUGGAAAGGGCGGGUAGGCGGGAAAGCAAGUCAGAUGUGAAAACCAUGGGCUCAACCUGUGGCCUGCAUUUGAAACUGUUUUUCUUGAGUACUGGAGCGGCAGCCGGCAUUCCUCGUGUAGCGGUG
rnacentral:rRNA from 1 species